AACGAACGCCGGCGGCAUGCCUAACACAUGCAAGUCGAACGAAGCCUUCGGGCUUAGUGGCGCACGGGUGCGUAACGCGUGGGAAUCUGCCCUUGGGCUCGGAAUAACAGUUAGAAAUGACUGCUAAUACCGGAUGAUGUCUUCGGACCAAAGAUUUAUCGCCCAAGGAUGAGCCCGCGUAGGAUUAGGUAGUUGGUGGGGUAAUGGCCCACCAAGCCGACGAUCCUUAGCUGGUCUGAGAGGAUGAUCAGCCACACUGGGACUGAGACACGGCCCAGACUCCUACGGGAGGCAGCAGUGGGGAAUAUUGGACAAUGGGCGAAAGCCUGAUCCAGCAAUGCCGCGUGAGUGAUGAAGGCCUUAGGGUUGUAAAGCUCUUUUACCAGGGAUGAUAAUGACAGUACCUGGAGAAUAAGCUCCGGCUAACUCCGUGCCAGCCGCCGCGGUAAGAC
rnacentral:rRNA from 1 species